rnacentral:rRNA from 1 species
UGGCGGACGGGUGAGUAACGCGUGGGUAACCUGCCUCAUACAGGGGGAUAACAGUUAGAAAUGACUGCUAAUACCGCAUAAGACCGCAGCACCGCAUGGUGCAGGGGUAAAAACUCCGGUGGUAUGAGAUGGACCCGCGUCUGAUUAGGUAGUUGGUGGGGUAACGGCCUACCAAGCCGACGAUCAGUAGCCGACCUGAGAGGGUGACCGGCCACAUUGGGACUGAGACACGGCCCAG